CCAUAUUUUUAUAUUUCCCCCCAACAUAUCAUAAAGGCAAAAUAUUUGAGCGGCCCAAAAUUUUCAAUCCGAUGAUUUUUUUUUAAUUCUCUUUGCGCCAUUGCUCUGUUAACUCUUUCUCUUCUGCAAUAAAAAUUUUCAAUCCGAUCCAGUUGAUCUGUUAACUCAAUCUCUCCUGCGAUUUUCUUUGAAUCCAUCAGACCCAGCUCCACCAGUUUCUUUUGAAUUAACACCUUCACCGUGGCUUACCAGACGGUGCUGUCUUCAGAUAUAAUCCCCGGGAAGUAAAAGCCGAAUAGUUCACUGAGAGGAAAGCAGCAAAAGAAGCUACAGCUGCGGCGGAGAAGAAGUCACCUGGGUCAUUGACAACUAUUCCUUCAGAGGCUAGCAAUGUUUCAAGGGAUGUCACUAGUCAGCCCGCGAGACCCAUGUCUGACGGGCAGAAACAUUCAGCAGGAUUGUUUCAAGGCAUCUUGGAGUUCUCACAAGUCUAUCCACUUGAAGGGAAAAUUAUCUUCUCUGGCUACUGAAACUCCAACAGAACAAAAUGCAUCCUCACCAAGCGAUAGUUGGAAAUAUUGCUUGAGGAAAGGACAGGAUCAAACGUUGAAAAUUCUGCAUUUUAACUUGACUGGGACGCUAAGGCCCUAUCCAAUAUCAAAAAAGCGUGUUGUACCUGCUCAUAUUGAUCCGACCUGAGUGGGCAAAUGAUGGUAUUCCAAAAAUUGAACCCAAUAGUGAUUUGCAGCAUGCUGUUGAGGUAAUACUUAUGUUGAGUUAGUAAUGGUUUGCAGUUAUAUCCUUCCCCUUCUUUCAAGAUCUUUUUCACUACUUUCUUGUCAUCAGUAACAUUUGAAACAAUCUUCCACGAGACCAACUCCAAGUUGAUUUGUAUGGUGGCAUUAGGUGGAAUCCUAUUUCAAUUGGCAACGACGCAUACAUCUUGGUAAACAAUGCGGGGAUCAAAUUUGAAUGGUGGGCGCCACAACUCAACUUGAUCUAGAUUGAAGCGAAUGAUGAAGAAUUUUUGAAAUAUUUUGAUAUACAUUUAUAUAUAUUUGGUUUUGUGUGGAACUUGGUACAAAUUUUUAUUAUGUUGUUUUCUAAUUAGUAUGUAAAAGACAUUUUUUUGAAGUUCAUUGCAAAUCUAUGCACUUCAAUUAUUUUUUAGCUAA